rnacentral:precursor_RNA from 14 species
CGGCAUCUGCCGAAGAAACGCCAGACAAAACUGGUUUUCACAAUGAUCGUCCAGAUGGACCUGAAGUCUGAGAUCAUUGUGAAAGCUGAUUUUGUUGAUUCAGAGCUUCACGUCCACCGCC